GUCCUCGUGGAUUAGAGUAAAUCGUUCCAACCAAAUUGUCCUGCAUCAUAUAGAGAUUGUAAUUGGAGAGACGGGCGUUCGAUCCGCCCCGAGGACC